AAAGCCAAUGCAUGCUUUUACAGUAUGAAAAUUGGUGAUUUAUAAUAACUUAGCAAAUCGUAAAGUGAAAACAGACGAUAAAUCAUUCAAGUUUCUGACCUAUCAGCUUUCGACGGUAUGGUAUUGGCUUACCGUGGCAGUGACGGUUAACGGGGGAUUAGGGUUCGAUUCCGGAGAGGGAGCCUGAGAAACGGCUACCACAUCUAAGGAAGGCAGCAGGCGCGCAAAUUACCCAAUUCUAACAGUUUGAGAGAGGUAGUAACAAGAAAUAACAAUACAAGGCAGUUAAAAUGCUUUGUAAUUGGAAUGAUAGAAAUUUAAACCCUUUUUAAAGUAUCAAUUGGAGGGCAAGUCUGGUGCCAGCAGCCGCGGUAAUUCCAGCUCCAAUAGCGUAUAUUAAAAUUGUUGCAGUUAAAAAGCUCGUAGUUGAAGUUCUGCUAAAAGUAACCGGUCUGCUUUUAAUAAAAGUGGUAUCUUGGUAUGUAUUUAGCAAUGAUGUCCUUUGAAGUGUUUUUUACUUUAUUGUAAUAAAGCAUAUUCAGGACUUUUACUUUGAGAAAAUUAGAGUGUUUCUAGCAGGCCGACGCUUUGAAUACUGCAGCAUGGAAU
rnacentral:rRNA from 1 species